rnacentral:rRNA from 1 species
UGGGGAAUUUUGGACAAUGGGCGAAAGCCUGAUCCAGCAAUGCCGCGUGUGUGAAGAAGGCCUUCGGGUUGUAAAGCACUUUUGUCCGGAAAGAAAUCCUUGGCUCUAAUACAGUCGGGGGAUGACGGUACCGGAAGAAUAAGCACCGGCUAACUACGUGCCAGCAGCCGCGGUAAUACGUAGGGUGCAAGCGUUAAUCGGAAUUACUGGGCGUAAAGCGUGCGCAGGCGGUUUGCUAAGACCGAUGUGAAAUCCCCGGGCUCAACCUGGGAACUGCAUUGGUGACUGGCAGGCUAGAGUAUGGCAGAGGGGGGUAGAAUUCCACGUGUAGCAGUGAAAUGCGUAGAGAUGUGGAGGAAUACCGAUGGCGAAGGCAGCCCCCUGGGCCAAUACUGACGCUCAUGCACGAAAGCGUGGGGGAGCAAAACAGGAUUAGAUACCCUGGUAGUCCACGCCCUAAACGAUGUCAACUAGUUGUUGGGGAUUCAUUUCCUUAGUAACGUAGCUAACGCGUGAAGUUGACCGCCUGGGGAGUACGGUCGCAAGAUUAAAACUCAAGGAAUUGACGGGGUCAUAGCUGUUUCC